rnacentral:lncRNA from 1 species
CAGAUAAGCAGCUUUGCUUAUAUGGAGUGUGUUAUUUUAGUCUGGAAUCAACAUUUCAAGAAAGUUCCUGAAAAUAUGGAUGUGGUGGAAGAGAACAGGUGAGCCACAAGAAUCCAGCCAUCCCUGCAAAUGUGUGUUCUGACACCGAUAGAAUCGUCCUUUCCUGUCUACUGCUUCUCUCCUGUCCUGAGUUGAUUUGGACACAAACGACAUCAGUUGCUUCCAGAAAGAUUGCUGCCAAGAUCCCUCCUGAGCACACUGCUUCUUUCUCCCCUAAUAGUCAUCACGGAGUUGGGACCACUGAACUCUGCUCUGCACCCUCACUCCCACCAUUCAGUUAACAACAGUACCAUGUGAGGUAAGCUG